rnacentral:misc_RNA from 1 species
CAACUCAUUCUCAUCGAUAUAUCCACUGGAGUCCCUAUCCACAGUCUGAAAGCUCCUAAUCACAUUUGGAUUCGUCUCCGGUGGAAAACCAGAGGACCCACCAAAAAAUUUACCUUCCUUCCCGUGUUCUGCCAUAGAAGAAGGCGGCUGGUGGUGGUGUUGGUGGUGGAGGUGGUGCCGGAGGAGGACUUGGUGGUGGAGGUGGUGCUGGAGGAGGACUUGGUGGUGGUGGCGGAAUUGGAGGAGGUAAAGGCGGAGGAGUAGGAGGUGGUGCUGGAGGAGGACUCGGUGGUGGAGGAGGACUCGGUGGUGGUGCUGGUGGCGGAGUUGGAGGAGGUAAAGGUGGGGGAGUAGGAGGUGGUGCCGGAGGAGGACUCGGUGGUGGAGGUGGUGCUGGAGGGGGACUUGGUGGUGGCGCUGGUGGCGGAGG